rnacentral:rRNA from 1 species
UAAGGAAUAUUCCACAAUGGACGAAAGUCUGAUGGAGCAACGCCGCGUGCAGGAUGACGGUCUUCGGAUUGUAAACUGCUUUUAUGAGAGAAGAUUAUGACGGUAUCUCAUGAAUAAGGACCGGCUAACUACGUGCCAGCAGCCGCGGUAAUACGUAGGGUCCAAGCGUUAUCCGGAAUCACUGGGCGUAAAGCGUGCGUAGGCGGAUAUUUAAGUGAGAUGUUAAAUCGUGUGGCUCAACCAUAUCGAUGCAUCUCAUACUGGAUGUCUAGAGGAAGGCAGAGGCAAGUGGAAUUUGUAGUGUAGCAGUGAAAUGCGUAGAUAUUACAAGGAACACCAAUGGCGAAGGCAGCUUGCUGGGCCUUUUCUGACGCUGAGGUACGAAAGCGUGGGGAGCGAACAGG